rnacentral:rRNA from 1 species
CAGUAGCCACGGUAAUACGGAGGGAGCUAGCGUUGUUCGGAAUUACUGGGCGUAAAGCGCGCGUAGGCGGUUACUCAAGUCAGAGGUGAAAGCCCGGGGCUCAACCCCGGAACUGCCUUUGAAACUAGGUGACUAGAAUCUUGGAGAGGUCAGUGGAAUUCCGAGUGUAGAGGUGAAGUUCGUAGAUAUUCGGAAGAACACCAGUGGCGAAGGCGACUGACUGGACAAGUAUUGACGCUGAGGUGCGAAAGCGUGGGGAGCAAACAGGAUUAGAUACCCCAGUAGUCCCUGUCUCUUAUAC